UAGUCUAGCAGUUAAGACAUCUAUCUACCACAUUGGAGGAUCUGGGUUCAAAUCCCAG
rnacentral:tRNA from 1 species